GAAGCCCAAGCCGACUCCCUGCUGAGCGUGGAGCCUGCUCAGUCCCAGGACCCUGGAGAUCAGGACCCCGGCCGAAGCUAAGGGUCGGCAGGCACCCCUGUAUUGAUCAAAUAUGAGACUGGGGUGAAUAGCCAAUUGAUCUCUUUGAAAGCAUAUAAAUAGUCCUCUUCUAGCUUUAAAGAGGAAAGAGCCAUAGGUGGUGGCAGUUGAAUCUAAGACCAUCCAACAUAUCUAAAGCAUCAGAUAUAACCAGUGGUGUGCUGGUAAAUGUUUAACAACCAACUCCCUGAAAAGAAAAGAAAAUAACAGUGAUUUAUAGUGUUUGUUGAUUUCAUGGUACGGAUGCUCCCACUGUGGCCGUUUUCAAGCUGACAAUGUGAAGUCUCUGAACUCAGUCUUGGGGAGAGAUGCCACAGUGGGCUCUCUCGACUCGGUAGGAGCAGGCUCCAUCACACUACUCAGUAAAAAAAAAAGCACAAAAUGGAUCGUCUUUUCACAAAACUGCUAAAAAAGUUUUCCAAGGUUUGAUCUAAUGAUUGACAUUCAGAAGACAGGCAUUCCAAGAUGUGUCUCAAUAUAUAAAGCCUUUAUGGAAUAAUAGGGAUGACAUUUCACCAACUCAGAAGUCUGCAAAAAGAGAAAG